GCACCUGGCCCAGACACUGUAAGUUUUGGGGAGGAUUAAAUGGGAUCAUCCAUGUAAAUGCGCCUAUCCCAGUCUCUAGCACACACUGAACACUCAAAAAUGGGAGGUUUUGGUAUUUCAGAAGAAAAUCAGGUGUCGGGGAGUGUUAGUAGUAACCUUGAACUAUAUGCAAAGACUAAAGCUAGGAAGAUAGGAAGAGUUUUACAAGAUCCUUUUGGCUAUAUAGUUAAAGUUAUUAGCAGUUAGAGUUUCCCUUACAGUUGACAAGUGAACCAUACAAGUGAAUGACUUGUGGUUCCUCAGAUAAAAGCACGAGUCAGAGUUGUAAUUUCUGUUUUGUGGACGUAAUUGUUGACCAAGUGCACUGAAGGUAGGGAUGGCCAGUAACAAAAUUAUAAAGCAGGCCUGUUUGUCUUCAAACACUCCUGAGUAAACUUGUCAUUUCCUUGUAAAAAUGCAAAAUAGACUACUGAGUAGAGGUGAUCAAUUACAGAAAUGCACUUACUUUGGCUUUCUUCUGAAACCUAAUAAAAUGACAGUAAAGGGAUUAUUUUUUUAAGGCAGAAACCCACAAUGAUGAUGAAAUUAGAAAGGAAGACAAGAACAACAAGGUUGUGGAAUUCAGAAGCCAUAUAGACAAGAGGUAACACACCUGAGAAAGAUGAUCCCUAAAUUUGUCUUGGAGAAAACUCAGAAGUACCUGACUACAUCAUAGACCUCCCAAACAGCUUCCAAAUGUCAGAUACCACUGAAAAUGGGGAUAAAGGUAGGGUCAAAAAUAGGAGGAUUGGGUUAUAAGUCUGUAUAAGAAGUUGUUAGAUCCCUACAUCCUCUCUUCAAACCUGUAUAGCCAGAUAAUGGUCCCUCUCCCAGCCUGGCAGAGGCUGGAAAAGGUAAAUAGAGAAACUUACUUCCUGGAGAACAUUUGGCACAUUUGGGGAUGGAGUUCAGUAAUAUAAAUGAAGGGGUAGUGAAAAUUUAUGGGAACAUUUAUAAGCUAACAGAACCCCAUGUCUUUUACCCCAUUCUAAUUCCAGACCACUAGAGAUUAGAAAAUUAUUCUCUGGGGUAUCUGACCACUUCCAGAGGAAAGACAUAAAGAUGCUGAUGUCGAGAAUGACCCAACUAAAUGGCCCAGCCAGAUGACCCAGUUGAAGCUGGUGGACAAGAAGUUUCAUUCAUGGAAUCAGAACUUCCAAUAAGCUGGGAAAACGGCAAUGGAUUAAUAACAAGAAAUUAAUGGUGAAGUGGUGACGAAAAUUCUACAUUGCUUAGAAAGCAAAUAGUGAAAUGAACAUUUACAUUCUGGCAACCUCAGAAGUACAACGAACAAAGGACACCAGCCAGAUGUGCCUUUUGCCUUCCGCCAUGAUUGUGAGGCCUCCC
rnacentral:lncRNA from 1 species